AUACCAUGAUGGGGACAUUUCCUUAACAGCUCCUUGAAGUGCUCCCACGCAUCAUAUAAAGACUCCCCGUCAUUCUGAAGGAAAUUAAUUACUUCGCCUCUCAACUU